rnacentral:rRNA from 1 species
UGGGGAAUAUUGCACAAUGGGCGCAAGCCUGAUGCAGCCAUGCCGCGUGUAUGAAGAAGGCCUUCGGGUUGUAAAGUACUUUCAGCGAGGAGGAAGGCGUUGUGGUUAAUAACCGCAGCGAUUGACGUUACUCGCAGAAGAAGCACCGGCUAACUCCGUGCCAGCAGCCGCGGUAAUACGGAGGGUGCAAGCGUUAAUCGGAAUUACUGGGCGUAAAGCGCACGCAGGCGGUCUGUCAAGUCGGAUGUGAAAUCCCCGGGCUCAACCUGGGAACUGCAUCCGAAACUGGCAGGCUAGAGUCUUGUAGAGGGGGGUAGAAUUCCAGGUGUAGCGGUGAAAUGCGUAGAGAUCUGGAGGAAUACCGGUGGCGAAGGCGGCCCCCUGGACAAAGACUGACGCUCAGGUGCGAAAGUGUGGGGAGCAAACA